CUGGCGAGCUGCUGGACAUUACUUUGGCACAAUCCUCGAUUGAGACUCAUGAUAACAGUGGUACUGGUCCUGUUACCUCCGGUCAGGAGAACCCAUAUGAUAUGCAUGGAAAUGUGAACCUUGCCUGUAAAAGCUUGUUGCUCAUUGGUAAUGGUUCUGGCUCAGAAGCCGAUGCUGAACACAAUGUGAAAAGGAGGCGGCUGACAACCUUGGACGAUGAGGAAGUAGCAUUUAGAAGUAGUGUGACGCAUGAUCUGCAUUUGUAGAUUUGAUGACUUAUGGGAGUCUUACCAAUGCUCUUAUGGUACUAGGAAUACAAGAGUAUCAUUUGUUAGCUGCAUACCCCAUCAUGUGAAUAGAUUUUUAGUGGGUUGUCUGUACACCCAACAUCUGAAUUUUUGUAAAUGCUCUUAAUCGGGGUUUUAGUUGCAUCCAUUUAGGGAUUCCUUGGACUAAUCAUGAUUGAGAUCUUGUUUAAGUUUCUCAUCUCUGUGUUGCCUAACGUAUAAUCAGUUGCCAAUGUAGAGAUGUUCAUUAUAGAUUUUGCUUUAUUUGCAAGGGUUCUAUGGUAGGCGGAGUCCUAAAAUUUCGGAAGUUAGUUGGAACAGGAUCAGUGUUUUCCUUCUAAUCAGAGAAGAUCACUAGAGGGGGAGACCUGUAGUGAACCUCCUUUAUCGAAAAAUUAUACUGUCUGAUCACAUUUUUGAUGCGAGACCUAGAAUUAUUUUUGAAAAUUAAUCAACCCUUGAACGAAUAACAAAUUUCAGGUCACAAUGAGAAAUAUUUGAUGCCCCUUUCUCUGUUAUGCUACACUUGGAGUUUUUUUUUUUUUAAAUAAAGAGGGAAGGUUUCACUAUAAUCUUUUAGCUUUAUAAUUCAUUUCAUAUUGUUUUGACGUUUAUCAUAGUCUCAUACUUAUAUCAACUGGUUUGUUUAGAGUCUCUCGAAAUCCUAUUAACCAUGUUGAGUAUUAUCUGAUCUUUAAUCCAAAAGAUUUGAUAAUACUCAACAAGAGUUUAAGAUUUUAAACUAAUCUUAAUAGAAGAAAUCAAGUAUUGGUAAAUUGGUUCGAUAAAACCUUUUCAGAACUCGUCAAAUUAAAAAAUUAACUAUUGGCUAGACAUGAGUUGUAAAUUAACAUUAUAAUAGAUAUUACAAAAGUUUUUAAUAAAGUAUUAUGCUCGCUCCUAUUUAACAUCAAUACAAACACAAUGUCAUUUAUGAAAAACAAUAAUUAUUAUUAUUAUUUGAAAUAAGUAAAAAAAAAUUAAAUGAGAUAUGUAAAGUAUUCAUGAUUUUUUAAUCAAAAUCCAUACACAAACAAAUAGUGAAUAACCUUAUUUUGAUAACCCAUAAUAAUCAUUUACGAAACCUCAUAAUUGACGGUUACUCUUUUCGUUCACUUUUAAUUGUCAUUGAUUUUCUUUUUUAGAAUCAAGUUAUAAGAAUUUCACUAACAUUUUAUGAUAUAUUUUAUUUUAGGGAUAAUUGUAUAGAAUGACAAACUAAUAAUACAAAAUAAAUAUAAUAGCUACCAUUUGAUUUAUAUGUGUUCCAUAUCAAACUGUUUGUCAGUCCCUCUCUUCCUCAUAUUCUCGCUUGCUUCCUGUCGCCCGCCUUUGUGGCUUAAUACAAUAGAAUUGUAUAAAUUGUGUUUCUAAUUGUAUAAAGUGAGAGAAAAUUGUGUAUACACAUGCAAAUACAUAUGUUUUUGUCCUAUACACUUAUAAUUACACAAUAAAGGUACACUCGUGCCCAAGUCUCUUUUGUCUUUCUCUCUUUUUCGUUUUAUACAAAUUCAAAUUGUAUGUAAUUUCCCUCUUUCUCGUUUUAUGCAAUUCGAUUCAAUUGUGUAUUCCCUGCCCAAGUCUCUUUUGUCUUUCUCUCUUUCUCAUUUAUACAAAUUCAAAUUGUAUAUAAUCGUCCUACACACUUAUAAUUAUACAAUUCAUUUUAUAUACUUCGUUUUAUACAAUUUUCUACCCAAGUCUCUUUCUCUUCCUCAUUUUAUACAAUUCGCUUAAAUUGUAUAUGUAUAGCGAAUUAUACGUAUAUGUGUUUGCUAUGAAGCGCAAUUAUGCAAACUUUGCUAUAACAUACAAAUAUGAAUUUUAUGUUUGCUAUAUGUGAAAGUUGCUCAUCUUUUAAAUCAUAUUGAUAUGCAAAAAAUUGCAAUUUAUAGUACUUUUCGUAUAGUUUUUGAAUAUCUAAUUUUUUUUAUUUAAACAAUUAAUGUAAUCUAAUUUAACUUUUAAAAUCAAUCAAAUUAACUUUUGAAAAGCGGAAUAUGACAAUUAAAAGUAGACGGAAUUAGUGAUUAAAAUUCAUCCAAGAAGGUUCUAUAUUUUCAUAAAACAUUUAUGAUUUUAGUAAUUUCAAAUGGUUAUAGUUGUCAUCAAAAAAUAAAAUUCUCGACCUAAAUAACUUAUGGAGAGAAUACAUUUAAUUUUCAAAUUCAAAUAUUACAAGUUUUAAUUAUGUAUCAAGUUUCAACAUAAGAAAAUAAAACAAAAGUCGCAAUUUUUUUGGGUGAACUUUCACAUAUAGGGCCCGUUUGGAUGGGCUUAAUAAAAGCAGCUUUAAAAAAGUACUUUUGAAAGUGCUGAAACUUAUUUUUAAAAUAAGCAGUUAUGCAUUUGGAUAAAAGUGCUGAAGUUGUUAUGCCAAACGUGAAAAAGGAAAAAUAGAAGAAAGAGAUGUUAGGGUUAUAUGGGUAAUUUGGAGAUUGUAUAAAAAUAUUAAGGGAAAAAACAUAAAAAUAUGGUCAACUUAAAACAGCUUAUAAGCUAAAAAAAAAAAAACACCCCUACCCAGCUUUUAACUUUUGGCUUAAAAUAAGUUUUUUUUAAACUUAAAAUAAGCUAUUUUGAGUAUUGCCAAACAGUUAAAUAAGUCAAAACCAGCUUUUAAGUCAGUUUGAUCAGCUUUUAAGCUGAGCCAAACAGGCUCAUAAUCACUAAAAAAUUGCUUAAUUACUUUUUGUAACUAUAGUUUUAUAAUUACAAUUCGUAGCUACAGGUUAUAGGGAGGAGAGAGGCGAACGAGACUGGGAGAGAGAGGAGAGAGGCGAGAGAGAAAAAAAAGUGGGAGAAAUGUGAAUUGUAUAUGUAUAUUGGUUAGAUAGUUGUAUAUUAUACAUAUGUAUUUGUAUAUAUGGCAAGGUAUAUUGGGAGAGAGAGGAGAGAGACGCGCGAUAAUGGGAGAGGGAGGAAAGAGGGGAACGAGUGAAUUGUAUAUGUAUAUGGUUAUAUAAUUGUAUAUCAUACAUAUGCAUUUGUAUAAAAAACAAGCGAGAUUGAGAGACGUAGGAGAGAGGCGAGCGAGAUUGGGAGAGGGAGGACAGAGGCGAGCGAAAGAGGGCAGAGAGAGAGAGAGAGGUGAAUCGUUUAUGUAUAUUGAUUAAAAAAAACGUAUAUUAUACAUAUGUAAUUGUAUAUUCUGACGAAUUAUAUGUAUACAAGUGUGACUAAUUAUACAAACUCGAAAUCAGUCCAUAUAAUUAACGUAUAAUAUUAAUCGUGAAAUGAUAAUUAUAACAAACUAUAGUUAUAAUGAGUAACUAAAUAGUAUAAAUUUAUUUAACCGUCUAAUUUUUUUCCCAAUAGACAAAAGCGAAUCCAGCCCAGCCCAGCGCAUGAGUCGGUUCGGAACUCUUCUUCCUCCUCAAUCUUCCACACUCAAAAGCCCUAAUUUUUUUUUUCUCAAGGAAGGAAAUGGACAGCAGAUUCGUUCUGCUUGAGCAAAGGUAAGGCGUUAAAGCUGUUUUAUUUUUCUUGUAAGUGAAUUAAUUCUUGAAUGCUCUUUGUUUGUUCACUGAAAUGACCUCAAUAAUAAGAAGAAAUCAAUCCUUAAAAACCAUCUUCAGAAACCCCAAAGAUUCAUUUUUUAACUCAACCCUUAAACCCUACAGAACCCCUCAAGCCCCAUAUAGGGUAUUGAACCAGAAACCCUUUUCAACCCAUUCUUCUAAGUUCCCAGAAUAUGAAAUGCCAACAGUAACAUGGGGUGUAGUCCAAGGGCGCAAAGAGAAGUUGGUGUCACGUGUAAUAAUAUCUGAUUAUUUGAGAAGUAUAGGAGUAAUCCCUGAUGAAUUAGAGGAGUUGGAAUUACCCUCCACUGUUGAAGUUAUGCGUGAACGUGUCGAGUUUUUGCAGAAAAUUGGUCUGACAGUUGAUGAUAUGAAUGAAUAUCCCUUAAUGCUUGGUUGUAGUGUGAGGAAAAACAUAAUACCCGUUUUAACUUACUUGGAGAAAAUUGGGCUUCAAAGGUCUAAGCUUGGUGAGUUUAUUAAGAUUUAUCCCCAAUGUUUACAUACUAGUGUCGUCGUGGAGCUUGUUCCGGUUAUUAAGUUUUUACGAGGUCUUGAUGUUGAGAAACAAGAUAUCGGGUAUGUUUUGAUGAAAUAUCCUGAGUUGUUAGGGUUUAAACUUGAGGGAACAAUGAGUACUUCAGUUGCUUACUUGGUUAGUAUAGGGGUUAAUCCCAGGGAUGUAGGGCCGAUGGUAACACAAUAUCCAUAUUUUCUUGGGAUGAGAGUUGGGACGACUAUUAAACCACUUGUGGAUUAUUUGGUUUCAUUGGGUGUGCCGAAGAAAAUAUUGGCGAGAAUGUUGGAGAAGCGAGCAUAUUUACUUGGUUAUGAUCUUGAAGAGACGGUGAAACCAAAUGUAAAUUGCUUACUCAGUUUUGGACUUAAGAAGGACACUUUGCCUUCUGUUAUUGCGCAAUUUCCACAAAUUCUUGGUUUACCUUUGAAAGCUAAGUUGUCGUCGCAACAAUAUUUCUUUAACUUAAAGCUUAAGAUUGAUCCUGAUGGUUUUGCUCGAGUCAUUGAGAAGAUGCCACAAAUUGUCAGUCUACACCAACAUGUGAUAAUGAAACCAGUUGAGUUCCUUGUUGGACGGGGAUUUUCAACGGCUGAUGUGGCAAAGAUGAUUGUAAAAUGUCCUCAGUUAGUUGCUUUGCAAGUUGGCCUCAUGAAAAAUAGUUAUUACUUUUUCAAGAGCGAUAUGGGUCGACCAAUGGAAGAGCUUUUGGACUUUCCAGACUACUUCACCUAUAGCUUGGAAUCAAGAAUCAAACCCAGGUACCAGAGGUUGCAGAACAAGGGAAUGAGAUGUUCUUUGGGUUGGUUUCUCAAUUGUAGUGACCAAAGAUUUGAAGAGAGAUUGUAUGGUGAUUAUAUAGAGCCUGAAAGUUCUGGUCCGUCAUUUUGUAUGGGUGGGAAGUUAGAGCUGCCAGGCAAUGAGAUUGUAUCAGAAGAGGAAGAUGAAAGUGAAGAUGAAACACUAUAUAGACGCACUCUCUCUUUGUAGUGUACUUUGUAACAUUUGUGAAUUGGGUAUAAAUGGUAAUAUCUUUCAAUAUUAGCUGAAUUAUUUUGCUGCUUUCUGCCUUUUUCUUCCAUUACGAUCAACGUGUUUUUUGUAGUUUGACAACAUUUAUAACAGUCCAAUGUAUCGAAAUGAAGAUCUUCCUUGUCUUAACUUCUACCUUUUGUAUUGGUGUACCUUAAUAUCCAGGCUUUACUCCUACUGAAGUUGCGUCCAUCGAAGGAAUUGUCUCAGAUGUCAUUUGCAUAAUCUUGACCUUAUUUCUUUCCAUGGGAUUUGUUUCAGGUUUAAAGUCAUUGCAAAACAAUAGUUUCUUGCUAUUUGCUUAUCCUCCCGCUAUGAUCAUUCCUGAUAUUGCAGAAUCAUAUAGCUUCAGAAGCAAUAUUUAAGUCGAAGGAAAAUCAAAUAUCUCAUGUUUAAUGAUUAAUAUGAUAUAUUCUUUCGUUUAUCAAGAUACAUUCUCAUGUAAAGAAUUUAAUUAGCUGAUUAUUUAAAGAAAGAAUCAGUUACCACUUCUUGCUCAUGAAAGUAUUGCAGGUAUUAUAGGCUUAAACCACACCCUUGGUGCUAGUUCAUCUAUACAAUUGAUUUACCUUCUCAAAAUAAGUCAUUUAACAAAUCUCAGAUCAAAAAAUUGUACAUUGACAAUUAGCAAUCAUCAUGGUUUGGGACGGGUGGGGAUUAGAUCCCUGUGAACCCUUCUGUUAAGAUUUAUGAAGCUGAUGUGAGAAGCCUAUGAUACAUCAAUGUGAACUCAUCCUGAUAGCUCUCACCCUCUGAUGAUUAGCUAUUUCUGCUGUCCUAAUUUGCAGCUCGUUUGUCCUCUAGUUUACUUUUGUUUAGGCAUGUGAAUUGAAAGGAGGAAGUACUGUUUAGUUGUUCUUUCGUUAUUGACUUUGUAGGCCCUGUAUUCCUGAAUAAGGAUAGAAAGCUUCUACAAGGUUGGAAAGUUUUAUAGUAUCUUAAAAUGCUCAAGUCUUUAUUAGAACUUUACUAGUGAAAUUGCAUGCAAUUCGAUUUAUGCUGUGUUUUCUUCUUUUCCUGGAGUUAUGUGUUGAGAUGUUUUAACAUAACACAUCAUCUCCUUGAUUCCAUUUUGAUGCAAAUUAUAAGAAUUGGGUGAAAGAAUUGAUCUUGCAGAUGACUGAAACCAUCUUAUUUCUUAUCUUUCUCUAGUAUAUAAUGCUUUAUUCAGUCAGAGAAGACAUGGAUCAAAUGGUCCUUCGCAGUUAUGGUUUCUUGUGUUUCUGUCUGGACAGUGUUAACUGUGGGGGGAGGAGUGGAUGUUCGACUUUACGGAACUUUAAACCUUGUACGAAGAAGUGUCUUCUUUAAGCUUCGGAGGAUGCCAUGUUAUGGGUGAGAUUUGAUGGACAACUGGAAGAUGCCAAAAUGGAGGAGAAAAUGCAGGGUAUGGAUGUUGCUUCAUUCACGUUAAUGUGAGUUGUUUGGAGAGGAAGAAAUAGGAGAUCUUUGAAGGGGUAGACAUGAGUUUACUCAGUUGAGCAGUAUUCUCUAUUCCUCAUCUGCUUUUGGUGCACCCAUGUAGUUCCUUGUUGUGUAGAAGAUUGGGUGGCCUUUUUGCACAUCUUCUUGUUGGUUCUUUACUUUUCGGUACUACCCUUUGCAUACAUCCAAAUCUUUGUCCAUGUCAUUAAGGAGGCUUUUUUUUUUUUUUUGCGGUUAGCAACUUAUUCUUUUCUCCCUCAACUUUUGUUCGAUAUGUCCAGUAUCCACUGUGGGAGCACACAUUUUCUGAAUUGAUGUUAAGCAGGGAAAAAUAUAUCUUUAACUGAGACUUGAUGAAAGGCAGCAUGGAUGUUUGAGACUCAGUGAGAUUGACAAGGUAUGACCAGUAUUUCAUGGUUACAAUUUUGAAUCUUUUUUCUUGUCCUCCUCAAUAUGCAGGUCAUUACUGAUAUACAUUUGGCUUUUACAUUUAGAAAAUAAAUGGUUAGUAUAAAUGGCUUUAAAAAUUUGAAAGUAGUUCAACUGCCACAACACAAAUACUUCAAAAUGGUUGCCAUUUUGAAGUAUUUGUGUAGUGGAGAUUGAACUACUUUCAAAGUAAGAAAGGGGAAAAAAGAAUAGAGUUCAUCUCCCUGCUGUAAAAAUGAAGAAAAAUUUAUCUUUUCCAAAUUGAGGAACUUGGUCUUGUCUAAACAGAGCACACUGCUACUUCUACAUAGCUGACAUAGAAUAGGAGUUACCUUGUUUAGUCUAGAAUUCUUCCUGGUUAUGAAAGUCCAUAUCCUAAGAUCUCAGAUUGGUAUACUAUAUGACAAACGUAAAGAGAAGAAAAACGACAUUUGAUGCUUCAAUGACCGUUGAGUCUGCAUGUUGGGACGAUCUGCGAAAUUCUACUUCAAAUCCUCAUGAAAUUUGUCUUGCUGUCCUUUCUUCCCUCUUCUCAGUUCUCUUCGAUUAAUAUUUCCUAUGAUAUUUGUGUUUUUUUUCUUGCAUUCUUUAUUUUUCCUCUUUUUCAGAUUCUUGCUUGUGAUUUAUGGCUCGUUGUUGACACCCAAAUUUUGACCCUCCUGGACAGUAAUUAAUUAUCGAGCUUCCUAACUUUCAAACGUUUCAAAAUAGUUAGUCUUAUAAAAUUUCAAAUGUAUACAUAUAAUUUCGCAAGUUUUUUUUAGUUUCGUCGCGUUUUGUAAUUUAUAGAUGGUAUAUGUUUUACGCAAUCAUAUAUACUCGUAUAUUUUAUGUUUAUCCUAAAAUCGUUUCAAAAAGAUCUUACUUUGGUUUUAAUACUUUACUAAAUCAGUUUACAUGUGUUGAAUUUUUUAUUUUAUAAUUACGUCGAUUACUUUAUUUCGUUAAAAUUUAAGAAGUUUAUGUUAAUUAAUUUCAUCUAGUUACCGAUUAUUUAAUCCGUUUGGGAAAUUAAAUGUGGCCUUUUUCUCAACUAGGGCCAAUUUUGCGGCCCAAAUUUCAACUGCCAGCAAUUUCCCAUGGGCCCAAUCCUUUUCUUUUUCUUUUCAAAAUUUCCAAUUGAUUAAGUCCCCUUGCAGUGGUAUGCGUUUUGUCCUUGCAGUGGUGAGAUCGAACCACGUCGCUAGCAAGGACAUGGGCAUCGAUCUUGAGUGUUCAUCUUUUUCCGAUUAAGUCCAGAUUUUUCAGGAAAAGGAUCUUAUCCAGAAGAGGGAAGAAUUUUUGAAUGGUGAUGGAAAUUCUCAGUUCUACCCUUUUCUCCUCCUUUCCAAACCCUAAUUUCCAGCUAUUUAAGCGGAGAUUUCUUUCAUUGUGAAAGAGAGAAGGAGAGGGGAAGAAAAAAGGGUGGGGUUUCUUAAAGAUUUUCAGGGAAAACAGAGAAAAUUACAUAAAAAAAAAAGAAAUUUCUGAAAGGAAUUAUAACUAGAUAUAUAGCGAAAAGAAAUCGAAAGAUCUUAGAGAAAUUAGUGGGGAGUCGAAGCUUUGGUUCAGAGCCUUCACUUAGUCCCUCUGCUUGCGAAAAUCUUUUGGAGUUGUCGGAAGUCGUCUCAAGCUUGCUACUGUCCCAUUUCGCUGCACUCUAAGAGGUAAUGCUCAUUCCCUUUCGAGCCCAUUUUGUUCCUAAUGAGUUGCUUGCCUGACUGCUCAAUCCUUGGCUGCCGAUGCGUUAAUAUUUGAGAUGGGUUUGACUAUUGGGUUGGCUGUGCAGCAGCGAUAAACUUGGUUUGUUCGAUAACCUUUCGUUGUUGCUUGUUCUUCGCCUUUCAAAAUCAUUUAAUGCCUGACGAAACCUAUAUGUCUGUCUGUGUUUUCUUUCUUGAUGGUCCCUGCAUUCUAUUACUUGUUUUAGGAAUUCCUCGAACUAGCGUAGGUUAAUUUCAUUUCGGUCGUCUUACAGUAUAGUCAACUCUUGGUUUACUUGAUUUUAUCUCUAGUUGUUAAAGAGUGUCCUAAGUCGAGUUUAACGUCGUUUUCUUUUAAAUAAUGGGUAUUGUUGUUGCUAUAUGGUCCUGAAUGACACAUGACGUUGGUUGUGAUUGUUCGACGUGUCUUAGAAUAAAUUUCUGCCACUCCCUUCUCGGUCACAAGCUGUAUAAAAUACAUCAUCCGUGUUCGUUCAUUCAUCUCGCGUAGUUAUUCCUUCAUGACAAAUGAAUUCGUCCUCCUUGCUAUUUAGGAUCUCUGUGAUUUUCUGUGAGAUGAAAUUGUGUGAUUUCUCUGUUACUGUGUAAUGUUAGCAGGAAGAACUCUGUUUCUUGAAUAAGUGUGUAAUUUGUUUCCUUAUAUGAUUUGGGUUUGUUAUUACUUAGUCUUGAUUAUACGACUUGGGGUUAUUAUCAUUUAUCAUUAGAUUUCCUGGGUAUGAGUUUUCAUAAAUGCAUGCGUGCAAUGUACUAUUGCUUACUGCCAUAUCUGUCAAAUUGGUUAAUUUGUUUCUUAGUUCACGUUCGAGUCAUAUUUUCUGAUUUAACUUAAGUCUCUAUAAUAAUAAGUAUUCUAUUCCUCGUUUUGCUCAAGUUUUUUUUUUAAGAUAGUAAAAAUGUCCCUCGCUUCUAGCUGUUAACAGUAAGUUGUUGCCUAGAAUGUGUGCUUAAAGUGUUUUCUUGAUGCAAAUUUAACUUGUAUCCGUUCAUCCCUGUGUACAUACUAUUCGCAUGUCUAUCCAUGGUUGGCUUCAACGGAACUUUCACGGAAAAUUCAUUUUCAAAUGUCUUACUUUGGUUUUGUAAUGAUCAUGACUCGCAUCUGUUAAAAGUUAUUUAGGCCUUGGUAUGAGUUUUUUUACUUAUUAAAAAAAAAUUGUUUGAAAACAAUUAAAGAGGUUCGGGGAUUCCUAUUAAUGUCUUAAAAAGGUUCAAUAGCACCUAAGACAUUAAUAGGAAUCCCCGAACCUCUUUAAUUGUUUUCAAACAAAUUUUUCUGUUCAGUUAUUUGAAAACAAUAGUUUUCUUAAUUUUCCUUUAAAAUUAAGUGGUGACUCUCUAAAAAGUCAAAACUCUUUGAAAAAAUAAAUAUUUUCCGAAUUCCGGAUAAAACACUCUUGUUUCUUGAGAAAACUUUAGGUAGUUGAUGAGUUUAUACCUUAAAGUUUCUCUACUUUAUUUUGAAUCCAGCUCAGCAUAAACUGGUUUCAACCAUCUGACUCUUCUAUAAAGCGAAGUGCCAUUCAAAGACUGAUAAGUUAUCUCCUCAAGAAUCUCUCUUGAAAACUCUCCCUCGUGUGAGUAAUAGUUGCUAUCCUGAAGGUGGUCUCAAGACAAGCAAUGAUGAUGAAAAUGCUUUGGAAUUAGUGUCUGAUCUACUUGGUUCAUCAAAGAGUUCGGAGAAUUUACCGCGUUCUCAAGCGAUUGAGAUAAACCCAUUUCCUACUUCCUCUCUGAGGGGUGUUUGUGCUAAUCAUUCAGGCUUUGGUUUAAAUGAUCCUUUUAGUCUGAAUCUGAUGAAGAACCUUUGCUUGACAUGGGUUUUGGUCACACAGCAUCUUUUAACGAAUUCAGGAGUUCAUUACCGCCAAUACAGGUAUGUCGUUAUUUAUUCUCAAUAAAUAAAGGUAUGUUGUAUAUAUCGCCAACUAGGUUCAAUAGUUCGCAAAUUGGUAGAGACACAAACAUGAAGAUAAGAUAAAUUUCAACAAACUAAUUUCACUGUCUUCUAGCAGCAGUAUAUUGAAAAUUAAUGUAAUAACAUAAAGUUUGCUGGACACUCCAUUUAGACUUAAUUUCCUUUUGGCCAAUUGGGAAGAUUUGACACUUAUUAUGUACUAAUAUUUUGUAAAAAUGCUUUCUAGGUAAGAGAGGGAAGGGGUGGUGGUUUUGAACAAGUACUGGGUGAGAUUUAUAUUUGGAGCAAGUGUUUAGAAUUUUUGCAAAGAUAUUAGUCAGAGAGAAUCAGAUUUAUGAUGCUGUAACUAAUUCCACUUUUGGAGGGUGUGAUCUACGUUACUUCUUGUUCACCUCUCCUGCUUGUUUAAACUCUUAAUCAUGCAUGGAUAUUAGCCAGUCGUCUUAGUUGGAUCUCGAAUCAACUGAAUUUGGUUGUACCAGUUCACUUUGCCAAGGGUUCUGAUUCCGUUUAUAUGCAUUUAUUUGCCGUAAAGUGAAUAGGUUUUCUUGUGUUUAAAACUCUGCUAGAAGUCACUGAGUUGUUGAUGAUCUUAAACAGGAAGAGAUGGAAGCUGGAGAUCAUCUUGCGUACACAGCAGACCUUCUUGUGCCUUUUCAUAUUCAUCUGGAUCUCUUGCUGCGGCAACUUCCUGGAUCCCAGAUGUGUCAGUUGUCCAAGAUGUGGACGAGGAAUUGGACUCAUCACCAACUACUUCAGUCCGUGACACAGAAACAAUUAGAAGCUGAGGUUGCAGAAGUGUGCAAAGUAGAUCAAAAUAUGAGUACAGAUGAGAAAAUUGAUCAGCCAAAGUCGAGUAUUGACUGUUUGGUUGAUGGACAUGCCACUCCUGGCGAGCUGCUGGACAUGACUUUGGCACAAUCCUCGAUUGAGACUCGUGAUAACAGUGGUACUGGUCCUGUUACCUCCGGUCAGGAGAACCCAUAUGAUAUCCAUGGAAAUGUCAACCUUGCCUGUAAAAGCUUGUUGCUCAUUGGUAAUGGUUCUGGCUCAGAAGCAGAAAAGGAGGCCGCCUACACCGUUGGAUGAGGAGGAAGUAGCAUUUAGAAGUAGUGUGACGCAGCGUUUGUAGAUCUGAUGACCUAUGUGGGUGUCUUAUCAAGCAUUCUUGGCGAGUUGCAAAAAUAUUUAGUUGGAACAGGAUCAGUCUUUUCCUUUUAAUCGGAGAAGAUCACUAGUCCUUUGUCGAAAAAUUGUACUGUCUGACCGCAUUUGAUUGAUCAUAAGGGAAAAAUUAAUGAAAUGAAGUGCUACUAUAGCAAGAGCUUGGGGUACUUGAUAUUAAAAUUGAUGAAGUAGCAACUGAAAUCUGUAUUGUAUUAGUUAUACAGUUCCUUGAAAUUUGCACUGUAUCAAUGUCAGUAAUUCAAUUUGUGUUAUGAGAUACACUUGUAAGAAC
rnacentral:lncRNA from 1 species